rnacentral:rRNA from 1 species
UGGGGAAUAUUGCACAAUGGGCGAAAGCCUGAUGCAGCAACGCCGCGUGAGUGAUGAAGGUCUUCGGAUUGUAAAGCUCUGUCUUUUGGGACGAUAAUGACGGUACCAAAGGAGGAAGCCACGGCUAACUACGUGCCAGCAGCCGCGGUAAUACGUAGGUGGCGAGCGUUGUCCGGAUUUACUGGGCGUAAAGGGUGCGUAGGCGGAUGUUUAAGUGAGAUGUGAAAUACCCGGGCUUAACUUGGGUGCUGCAUUUCAAACUGGAUAUCUAGAGUGCAGGAGAGGAGAAUGGAAUUCCUAGUGUAGCGGUGAAAUGCGUAGAGAUUAGGAAGAACACCAGUGGCGAAGGCGAUUCUCUGGACUGUAACUGACGCUGAGGCACGAAAGCGUGGGUAGCAAACAGGAUUAGAUACCCUGGUAGUCCACGCCGUAAACGAUGAGUACUAGGUGUAGGAGGUAUCGACCCCUUCUGUGCCGCAGUAAACACAUUAAGUACUCCGCCUGGGAAG